rnacentral:tRNA from 2 species
UCCCGGUUUGUGUAAUGGUAGCACAACUGACUCUGGAUCAGUUUGUCGAGGUUCAAAUCCUUGACCGGGAGCCA